rnacentral:rRNA from 1 species
UACGUAGGGGGCAAGCGUUGUCCGGAAUCAUUGGGCGUAAAGAGCGUGUAGGCGGCUCGAUAAGUCUGCUGUGAAAGUCCAGGGCUCAAUCCUGGAAGGCCGGUGGAAACUGUCGGGCUAGAGUCCGGAAGAGGCGAGUGGAAUUCCCGGUGUAGCGGUGAAAUGCGCAGAUAUCGGGAGGAACACCGGUGGCGAAGGCAGUUCUCUGGGCCGUAACUGACGCUGAGGAGCGAAAGCGUGGGGAGCGAACAGG